rnacentral:misc_RNA from 1 species
GGAGAUGGAUGGAGACUGCUCAGUGGGAUCGUAGCGUGACCGUGCGAUGUGGCGUAGGACGCUUCGUGCGCCGCGUCGGUGCCUGCCUACGUUUCUCGUUGUGUGUGUGUGUCUCUCUCCGUGUCUAUCUAGUGCGUGCACUCGAUGUGCCGCGGCGCGGUCGGCUCCUGCCCCGCAGACGUUUGACAGACGAUUUGGUUCAAAGAACUGAGCACAGAGAUACC